rnacentral:rRNA from 1 species
AUUGAACGCUGGCGGCAUGCCUUACACAUGCAAGUCGAACGGUAACGGGCCUUCGGGUGCCGACGAGUGGCGAACGGGUGAGUAAUGCAUCGGAACGUACCUUUCAGUGGGGGAUAACGUAGCGAAAGUUACGCUAAUACCGCAUAUUCUGUGAGCAGGAAAGCAGGGGAUCGCAAGACCUUGCGCUGAUUGAGCGGCCGAUGUCAGAUUAGCUAGUUGGUGAGGUAAAGGCUCACCAAGGCGACGAUCUGUAGCGGGUCUGAGAGGAUGACUCCGCC